GUUCCGCCCGGACGGCGUUUCCACGGACGCCCAGGAGACAACCCGUUGCUGAGCCGGGAGCGCUGACUGGCCCGGCUGGACAGGGAUGAAAUUGAUUCUGCAGUAAAGAUGUUGGUGUCAUUAAAAAUGAGCUACAAAGCUGCCGCGGGGGAGGAUUACAAGGCUGACUGUCCUCCAGGGAACCCAGCACCUACCAGUAAUCAUGGCCCAGAUGCCACAGAAGCUGAAGAGGAUUUUGUGGACCCAUGGACAGUACAGACAAGCAGUGCAAAAGGCAUAGACUACGAUAAGCUCAUUGUUCGGUUUGGAAGUAGUAAAAUUGACAAAGAGCUAAUAAACCGAAUAGAGAGAGCCACCGGCCAAAGACCACACCACUUCCUGCGCAGAGGCAUCUUCUUCUCACACAGAGAUAUGAAUCAGGUUCUUGAUGCCUAUGAAAAUAAGAAGCCAUUUUAUCUGUACACGGGCCGGGGCCCCUCUUCUGAAGCAAUGCAUGUAGGUCACCUCAUUCCAUUUAUUUUCACAAAGUAAGUAUUGGAUCUUAUGGCUUUUCUUACUCUCUUAGUGAAUUGA
rnacentral:sRNA from 1 species